rnacentral:rRNA from 1 species
GACGAACGCUGGCGGCGUGCUUAACACAUGCAAGUCGAACGGAAAGGCCCUGCUUUUGUGGGGUGCUCGAGUGGCGAACGGGUGAGUAACACGUGAGUAACCUGCCCUUGACUUUGGGAUAACUUCAGGAAACUGGGGCUAAUACCGGAUAGGAGCUCCUGCUGCAUGGUGGGGGUUGGAAAGUUUCGGCGGUUGGGGAUGGACUCGCGGCUUAUCAGCUUGUUGGUGGGGUAGUGGCUUACCAAGGCUUUGACGGGUAGCCGGCCUGAGAGGGUGACCGGCCACAUUGGGACUGAGAUACGGCCCAGACUCCUACGGGAGGCAGCAGUGGGGAAUAUUGCACAAUGGGCGGAAGCCUGAUGCAGCAACGCCGCGUGCGGGAUGACGGCCAUCGGGUUGUAAACCGCUUUCGCCUGUGACGAAGCGUGAGUGACGGUAAUGGGUAAAGAAGCACCGGCUAACUACGUGCCAGCAGCCGCGGUGAUACGUAGGGUGCGAGCGUUGUCCGGAUUUAUUGGGCGUAAAGGGCUCGUAGGUGGUUGAUCGCGUCGGAAGUGUAAUCUUGGGGCUUAACCCUGAGCGUGCUUUCGAUACGGGUUGACUUGAGGAAGGUAGGGGAGAAUGGAAUUCCUGGUGGAGCGGUGGAAUGCGCAGAUAUCAGGAGGAACACCAGUGGCGAAGGCGGUUCUCUGGGCCUUUCCUGACGCUGAGGAGCGAAAGCGUGGGGAGCGAACAGGCUUAGAUACCCUGGUAGUCCACGCUGUAAACGGUGGGUACUAGGUGUGGGGUCCAUUCCACGGGUUCCGUGCCGUAGCUAACGCUUUAAGUACCCCGCCUGGGGAGUACGGCCGCAAGGCUAAAACUCAAAGGAAUUGACGGGGCCCCGCACAAGCGGCGGAGCAUGCGGAUUAAUUCGAUGCAACGCGUAGAACCUUACCUGGGUUUGACAUGGAUCGGGAGUGCUCAGAGAUGGGUGUGCCUCUUUUGGGGUCGGUUCACAGGUGGUGCAUGGCUGUCGUCAGCUCGUGUCGUGAGAUGUUGGGUUAAGUCCCGCAACGAGCGCAACCCUUGUUCACUGUUGCCAGCACGUUAUGGUGGGGACUCAGUGGAGACCGCCGGGGUCAACUCGGAGGAAGGUGGGGAUGACGUCAAGUCAUCAUGCCCCUUGUGUCCAGGGCUUCACGCAUGCUACAAUGGCUGGUACAGAGAGUGGCGAGCCUGUGAGGGUGAGCGAAUCUCGGAAAGCCGGUCUCAGUUCGGAUUGGGGUCUGCAACUCGACCUCAUGAAGUCGGAGUCGCUAGUAAUCGCAGAUCAGCAACGCUGCGGUGAAUACGUUCCCGGG